GCACAGAGAGAAAAGCAAGCAGAAGCCAUGACAGGGGAAGGGGGAAGCAAGAUGUCACCAGCGGCAGAGGAGGAAGACCAAACUUAGUGAGAGAAGUGGGGCCAAGAACACUGAGGGGCUGUCAGCGCCUGAGUCAUUCCAAGCAAGACAGAACAUACAGGAAGAACUUGGGAAAAUUGAUGAGACCAAAGAAUUUUGAAAGAUAUAUAAACGUACCAGACUUCUGUGGGUCACUAAGUGCAGCAGUACUGACAUAAAGACUUUCCCGAAAGAGGACACACAGAGAAGUGAUAAGAUAAUGAGACCAUUCUCCAAAUCCUGCAGAUCCCGGCGCUCUUGCCAUUUGCGACGACGUGGAUGGAACUAGAGGGUAUUAUGCUGAGCGAAAUCACCUGGGCAAGGGAUGCAGGAAGAGGACAAGACAACACCCCUGAGACCAGGGCUCCUGACAUGACACAGACAACACACAGCUGAUGUCAAGCCACUGACGUGAUACCACUGACCGUGAAGGUGGGAAGAGAUGUGCUUCGCCGGCUCAAAAGAAUCUCUAUGUACUGGUGGCCAGGACACCCCUGGAACUGGGCUGCUUUUGAACGUCUAGAUUCUGAAGACUUUCUUUUUCCCUUUCUUUUCUUCUCUUCUUGGGGGCCAGCGGGUUCUCUAGGACACGAUCUCCUCGUUUGUAAAAUGGGUUAAUGGGAACAGGUAAUCUCUAAGCUUUCUCUAAGCUCAGUUCUUUAAAUAUUUCAGUAAUUUCCCAUUCUGAGUUUUAAGGCAGACUGAGUAUUAUAGCAGAAUUUUUAAAAGUUCUGGGGCGCCUGGGUGGCUCAGUGGGUUGAAGCCUCUGCCUUCGGCUCAGGUCAUGAUCGCAGGAUCCUAGGAUUCCAGGAUAGAGCCCGCAACAGGCACUCUGCUCCUGGGGAGAGCUCUCUGGGGAGCUUGCUUCCCUUCCUCUUUCUCUGCCCAUCUCUCUGCCUACUUGUGAUCUCUGUCUGUAAAAUAAAUAAUAAAUAAACUCUUAAAAAAAAAAAAAAAGUUCCGCUGCGUCUAAGCUUAUACUCUAGGGACUUAAGAGAUGUAGGGUAUUAUCCAACACAGAGGCAUGUUAUUUCUAGUUCAGUGAGGUUUAUUUUAUUAAAUUUAGCUCUAGUUUUCAGAGAUAUAUUAAAUGGUAGACUCCCAUGAUCUUGUCACAAUGAUGUCGGUUCCUACUGUUCAGCUCAAAAAGAAAAAAACAACAACCAAAAAACCUGCCAAGUCAAUGACGAGAAACACAUUAUGGUUGGUUGUACCUGCUUUAUUUCUUCUUCGGCAUUUUCAAAAUGGGCAAAAUUAAGGGUAUCCCUAGUUGUGAUGCAUGGGAGAAGUAACAGCUAGUCUCUUUUGCUAGAACUGCACUUUCUUUUGUCUUUUUUUUUAAAGAUUUUAUUUAUUUAUUUGACAGAGAGAGA